rnacentral:rRNA from 1 species
UGGGGAAUAUUGGACAAUGGGCGGAAGCCUGAUCCAGCAACGCCGCGUGAGGGAUGACGGCCUUCGGGUUGUAAACCUCUUUCAGUACCGACGAAGCGAGAGUGACGGUAGGUACAGAAGAAGCACCGGCCAACUACGUGCCAGCAGCCGCGGUAAUACGUAGGGUGCGAGCGUUGUCCGGAAUUAUUGGGCGUAAAGGGCUCGUAGGCGGUUUGUCGCGUCGGGAGUGAAAACACCGGGCUUAACUCGGUGCUUGCUUUCGAUACGGGCAGACUAGAGGCAUGCAGGGGAGAACGGAAUUCCUGGUGUAGCGGUGAAAUGCGCAGAUAUCAGGAGGAACACCGGUGGCGAAGGCGGCUCACUGGCCCGAUACUGACGCUGAGGUGCGAAAGCGUGGGGAGCAAA